rnacentral:piRNA from 1 species
UGUUCUGAAGAUUCUUUAAUGGCUAAG